UAUCAGCACUUCCAGCGCACCUACCAAAAAUGAGAAGUGGGUGGACAGUGUUAAAUGCAUUCAGAAAAGAAAAUCAGAAGAUGUGAAGGUAUUCUGAAAACCAGAAAAGCACUAUACAAGGUGGCCAUCAACAAGAAGUAAAUAAUGCAAAAAGAAAGGAGAAUCACAGUACCUGGCAUAUAGAAGGAAUCCAGGAAGCGAUUGCUAAGGGAACAUAAAUGUCUGGAGCUGGGGGCAGGCAUGUGGACACGAGAUUUGAAAGUCAUCAAUGUAUAGCUGCCAGCUGAAUCCAUGUUAAAUGGAUGAGAUUCUUCAGGAAAAAGAAAGAAGAAACCAAACCUGGCAGAAUUGUACAGAAAUGCCUCACCUGUAAAUGACAUUUUUAGCCAGUUCCACAUCAUCCCGGGUAUCACACAAAUGAAGGAAGGUUUUCAACUCGUCCUUCAAGAUGAGCUUAUUCUGGGCCAAUUUCUCUUUCAUGUUUCUCAGGUAGGUUGCUGGAAGAAAGCAUAGUGUGGUGGCCGUCACUCAGGCUGACUGGGACUGUCAGGAGUCUGACCUCAGGGAGAAGGGGAAGCUGGAUUCUGGCACACUGCAAAGAGGCACUGAGAGAGGCUCCCAUCACUGACCAGUGUCCUUAAGAGCAGUAUCACAGAAGGUCUAUGAAGCAAACCAUCUGUGCUACAGGAGCACAGGAUGGGGGCCCACUCAAAACUUUCUAACAUACAAUCUUUGAGGGUAAAAACACAGGAAUAUGCAAUUUUGACUACCUGGGUGAUCCUUCUGCACACUAAAGUUUUAAGAACUAUGUCCCAGAGGCUUAGUCCAAAAAACUAUCGACAGGUGACCCAUUAGGAAAAAAAAAAAAAAAAUGCAACCAAGACAUCUAAACCAACAAUUGGCAGGGUAUCUAGCAGGAAAACUGAAAGGAAAAUGUGUACUGAAGAUGGGUUUGCCCCAGUGGUUGACCUACACGAUUUAGCAAUAUUUCAAGUCUCUUGCACUUAGUUCAACUCUACCUUUCAUUUCUCUUGCUCUCCCUACUCAGUUAUUAGACAGCAUGACACAGUACUACAUAAUGCACACGGUAAAAAAAACCCAUCCUCUCAACAGCAGCAAACUCUCUUGGUAACAGAAUCAUUUCAAAAUGCUUAUACUUAUCUCUGUCCCGUCUUGUAUCUGAUCAACUGUGGAGACAGUCAAACACCAAAAGGAAACACUGCUUCUUGGCAUUAGGAAGGGAUCAGAUUCUCAGCAGAAUGUGGGGUGAGAUGCAAGCCCAGCACUAAAGAAGCAUCUGCUUUCUAGAAGGCAGAGCUGUUCUCAGUAUCAAGAGCUGCCAAGAAAAGUCUACGGGUUUUGCUCCAAGGCCCAGAGCUUUGAAGGAAGGCUGCCUAAAGGAAUGGCACAAUAUGUAUUAAAACACAAGACUGGGAAGCUGAGGCAGACACUGUUCUCAAUUUAAAGAAAAGAAGGCCCACCUGGUUUAAGUUAAUACUGUGGACCAUCCAAUCUUUAUUUGCAGAGCCAGGUCAUGGUUAAAGGUUUCAGAGGUGGAGAGGCCCAGGCUAUAAGCUAGGCUCUGCUACUUGCAUGCUAUGGGGAGACCCUUGUCUGUUAGACUUGAUUCCACGUGUAAAGUGAGAAUCGUGAGAGCUACCUCAUGGGGUAUCCUGACAUAAUGUACUUUAAGCAUUUAGCACAGGGCCUACCAUAUAGUAAUUGCCAGUAAAUCAUUUUUUGUUCUCAUUUUCAUUCCAUCACUUAUCAGAUUUAAGAGAAUUUAUACUAUUAACUGUUUCUAAACAAUUUCUAAUCUAAAUAAUUCUAAUGGAACGACUUACACUUUUCAAUAAGUCUUUAGAAUCCAAAAUUUCAACAGUAUAAUUUGCACUUGCAAACAAAUAAUCAAGAUUUAAGUGUUCGUGAACAACACAAGGAAGGCUAAGGCAGGGUUCCCGUCCUGAAAGAACUUAAUCUACUUGAAAAAACAUGACACAGUUACGCAAAGCUGUCUGAAAACAAUGAUGGAGGGGCACAUGAGUGGCUCAGUCGGUUAAGCAUCUGACUUCUGCUCAGGUUAUGAUCUCACGGUUUGUGAGUUCAAGCCCCGCGUCAGGCUCUGUGCUGACAGCUCUGAGCCUGGAGCCUGCUGUGGAUUCUGUGUCUCCUUCUCUGCCCCUCCCCUCGCUCGCAAUCUGUCUCUCUCACUCAAAAAUAAUAAACAUUAAAAAAAUUUUUUUUGAAAACAAUGACUGAGGGAGUGACAGGUGACCAACUAUAUAAAUAGAAAGAAAUCAGGGUGGCAGAAAUAGACCAGGUUUGGCAGAUGUGGAAAGGUACCAGAAAGGAAGUGGCUGGAUAGGGCUGGAGAAACUCAGGAGAGGGGAUCAUUCUUGGUAUAAAAAUCAGCAUGAACAAUAGCAUAGAACUGGGCACAGGGGAAGGUGGUGAGGGAAGAACUGUGAUUACAUUAACAGGAAAUCAUACUGGACUCCAUAAAGGGUAAGGGGCCCAUUAUGGAGGAGCUGGGAAGCUGGUGGCAGUGCGUGGGUGGCUGUGUGGGGGGGGGAAUGUACACAAUAUGGUAUAGGACAGAGGACCACUGUCAGUUCUUAUAAUGAAGAAAUGUUAACAGGAUUUUUAUAAAUAUCAAUCUGACCAUGGAGUAGAUUGGCACUCAUUACAUUAACUGCCUUUCAGAACAUAUGCUCAAUUGUGACAGCUUUAGAAACACUACAACAAUUGGAUGUAACUAAAAAAUGACAUGAGGCCCUAACUGCCAACUUCACAAAGCUCCAAAAGUGAUGAGUAAAAAGAAGACUGAAGUAAAAUCCAGGCUGAGGAAAAUCAGAAGUAAAAUGUCCGCUGGAGAUUAACAUAUUCUCCCUCACUCUGAAGGCUUAUCUACUCAUUCCAUAGGUGGUAUAAUGUAUAUGAAAAGUGGUGAGGAAAAACUGAUUUCUGGAGGGCUAGAAGCGGUGUUUAUUACGUGCCCAUAAACAUUUGACAGUAAGAGGAAGGAGAUCUGAGAAAUUUAGUAGGAACAAACUAAACUGUUAUUAACAAAGGGAAGUCUUGUUAUGCUUAUCAAGGAAUUUAAAGUACCGGAAAAAAUGUGGAGAGAGGGAAUGAAUUCAACAAGAGUUCUCAGAUGCUGACAGGAAUAAGAACUAGGAUAGUAGUGUGUUUUCAGCUUUUUGUAAUAAAAAUUUUCAAACAUACCCCAAAACAGAAAGAGAACAGUAUAAUGACCUCUCAUGUGCCCAUCACCUGGGUUCCAAAAUGACCAAUAUUUUGCUAAUUAAAAAAAAAAAACAAUGUUUUACCCUAUUGACUUUUUCGCAGAGUAGAAAAAUAUGAAAAUGAAUCCCACAAGAUGGUUUUGUUUCACUGUGUUUCAUUUGUGUAUAGAUAUGUAUGUGUACAGUGGGGAUGCUAUGCAAAAUGUACUUUUUACUCAGAGGUGUAUCAAAAAAUGUUAAAGCCAGUCAUCUUGAGCAGUUCUUCUCAGACCUUACUGUGCAUAUUAAUAGUCUGGGCUUUAAGUUGGGCAUCUCUAUGAAACUCCCAGUUGCUGCUAAUCCUUGACCCUUAGUUUAGGUGGCAGGGAUCUGAGGGAACUCGUUCCAACACGAGUUUUAGUAUUUCUCUGGGAUCCUGGGAAAAGUGACAAGAGGAGAGCUGUAGGCUCUGUAGUAGCAGAAAGUGAGAUGAAAAGUACAUUUAAGAGUAGACUAGGAAAUCAAGAAUAAACUAUGUCAAUCCCUUCUCGGACAUAAGGUCAUUAGAGGAGACCAAACGGAUAAAGACAAAAAAAAAAAAAAAACAC